UAAGAAGUUGAAGUGAGAUGACUUAGAAAAGUAUGGCUUUGCUUUUUUUUUUCCUUUUUUUUUUGUGUGUGUGUAAAGGGUCUCUAAGAAAAAAUAAUUUCUUUCCUGCUUCUUUGUCAGGAAUGCCAACAAAGUUUAAAAUGGUACUUUGUCAAUUAAAAUGACUUUACCAUUUCAGGAAGAAAGGCUAACAUUUUCAACCUCAUUAAGCAAAUUCAAAGGAGAGUAAGGAGGUCUUAAUAGACACGAACGUUCACUUGUACUAAAUCCAAUACUUUUAAAGGUCAUCUGCAGCUCCGUCACUAUAGUAAGUAAGUAUUUUGUUUUCACUUCUUUUAUUUUUAACUUUCUGUUCUAAUCUGCAACACUCCUCCUGUGAACUGACCUAUUUACUUUGCUACAGUUUUGCUUUUUGGAUGCAUUUAGAUGCAGCUAGCAGAGCAGUCUGGUUAGACUUCUAUGUUCAAAACCUAACAUUUCUGCUACAGUAUUCUCAAAGUGUUUUUUAUUGCAUGUACAAGUGCAGAUAACACUACAAACUCAAGUGAGCUUUAAUGAUGGCAGGGGUAUUUAGACUGGCCUUCCACUAUCAUCACAAGCUAUUAAAGGCACAGACAGUGUUGGCUGCUCCAAUGAUUAUAAUAAAAGGCUGGUUCAAAGGAACUUGUUUUCUGCUGACAGAAGCUCCAUCCCCAGAAAAACAAUCCGUGAUAGAAUCUUUAAAAGGUAAUUCUGAUGGAUGCGUCUUCAUUGAUCUCUUGAACUAAGAUGAACUCUUCUGUCAUCUGUGGAUUUUCUUUAUUCUAUUUUAUGCCCUCUUUAAAAAUAUGUUUGAGUAAGUUUGGAAAAGUUGUCCCUUGUGUGUGUGUACAAAAGUUGUACGUAGUGCUUUGUACUAGAUGCAGCUGUUUCUGUUACAGGCAUCACUUCUGUUGUGACUUCUGUGAUAUUCUGUACAAUCUAUAUUGCUUAUGUAGCUCUAGUUAUUUAGGCAUAACUGCAUCAAAAGGAAAAAUCAGUGUGUGACUGUACCUUUAAUUGGCACGCUUACUUUCCUGCUGUCAGUACUGGUGUGGCUGAAGUCAUGCAACUAUGUUUAAACAAAAGGGAUGGGAGGCAAGCUGUGUAGUAGUAACUGAUUUCAGCUUUUAUGGUCCAGUACUAAAGGCUGUAUUUAUUAAUAGCUCCACGUUUUUCCUCCCAUGUUGUGGCCAAAUACUAGAUAUUAGCAAGAAGUGGAACACACUAAACUAACAGUAUUAUUUCUCCUCCAUUAUUUCUAGCAACUAGAGUAGUAAACUCUACACUCCUCCUACUUCUGCCAUUAAUAGCAAUUGGAUGUUUUUUUUUCAGAAACUUAACGUGGCCCCUUUUUGAACUUACAUAAACUUCUGGCAUGCACAUCUUUACUGCUAUCAUUUGCAGAAACAAACUGUAACAAAACCACUUAUGUUCUUUUUCACUUAAAAAUCUUUAACUUGGUAACUUAUCUUAAUUUUCUCUAAUUUUAAAGUUUAAUAGGCAACUGGGAACAGUUGCAUUCUGGGCACAUUCCCUCUGUCAACCAUGAUUGUAUAGACAUCUGUGAAUCUACUGCCCUCUCUUCUCUAGGCCAAAUGGUCCACCUGCGCCUGAUAUGAAAGACCUUUCAUUGCUACAGUCACUCUUGCUGCCUUCCCAUUUCUCCUGGUUCUGCUGUACUUCUUAAAAGGGCAGGCCAGGUAAAGAAAGUACUGUCUGCCUCAAGUUUUAUGGGCUGUUUCUUGCUUUUUUUCCUAAUAAUUACUAACAAUGUUUUGGCCAUUACUGAGAAAUCAACUUCUGUUCUUACAAAAUGAUCUACUGGGCUGCUAUCUUAUUUACUCAGUGUUAAACCCAGGCUCAGAGGUCAAUACUGUAAUGUUUCCAAACUUCACCUCUCCCUCGGAAAGUGUGAAUUUGAUCGACAAUAAUUUCACCUGCCUCUGUGUCAUCUACAUGCACGUCAUCUCUUAGUCAUCAUCUACUACACUAACACUGACCAAACUGCUCAUUUCCUUGAAUAACUUUUCUUAUUUUUACCAGUAGUAUACAUCUGUUGUUCCCUUUCAGUAGAAUAAACAAUAAUUUGGUUUGCUUUUUUUUUCCCCCUUAGCAUUCAGUCUGUUAUCAAAUUAAUGAACAAAUCUUUUGUCUUCAGUCAUUUUUUUUUUUAAGGCCUACUGUGGAGUGGCCCGGUGACGUUAAACAGAUUAUCUUGUUCCAUGUUGAGUGAGUCAAGAAAACUACUGUGCAGCAGAAAGAAAGGAAAAACAAUCACUGAAUGAAGACAUCAAUGUUUCCAGGAACUGGAACUUUACAAGCUCUUGUCUACCAACUCUCAGUGCCUCCAGUAACAUUCCGUCAGCAGGUGCUGUGACAUCAGCCCCUCUCUACUGUUUUGCCAUACUGGACCAUGCAGAAAAAUACGUGGUUUUAAGAAACGUUAUUUGAGGGAUUGGAAGUCCAUGUACUUACCCACUUUGAGUAGGAACUAGUCAGAGAAGGGGCUUGGAGUUGCUCCAAUUUCCACUAAUGCUUGUAGUUUCAGCAGAACCUUUACAAAAUGGCUGUGGCACACAGAUGCAGCAUGUUGCUUUAGAAUGGAUAAAAAUGAACCAGGGCUUCAGGCUAAAUAAUGCGUUGUUCAAUGCUUACUGACGGAAGAAGACAGCACACAGUUUGACAGAAUUUGAAAGAAAAAAAUGAGGACUUUGGAGGUUGUCUGAGCUCACUGUCAGACAGGUUAACAUAUCCUAGAAUUCAUACGAAGGAUGUACAAAUGUAAAUCAGAUGUAAGUUGAAAAUGAAAUACACAGAAGAGGUGUACUUAGAUCUUCACACAGGAGAGAAAUUACAAUACUGUUAGGCUUGACAGAGAGAGACAAGUGGAUAAGGAAGUGAGCAUUAUGGCUCUGCCAGCAUGUAGCAGACACGUCAGGAAGAAAAGAUUUUAAAUAUUUUGCAUACUGAAAUUCCUUUCUUCAUGUUUCACCCACUCAUAGGUUUCACACUGCUCUACUGAUGUCUUUUAAAUCCAAAAGAAAAUAUAACAUAAAAAGAAUAUUUUAUGUCCUUAUAAUUUUGACAACCAGGUUAAUAAAUUGAGGUACAAAAUCAUGUUUGUGUAUUUUAAAGACAGACAUUUCUUUCUGUAUCAUGGUGCCAUCUAGUGGAAAUAGACAUUUAUAGAGAAGAGGUAUCUCUAGCAUUGACAGAUUACAAUAUGUCGAGUACUGAUAUUCACUGC